GACGAACGCUGGCGGCGUGCUUAACACAUGCAAGUCGAACGGAAAGGCCCUGCUCUUGUGGGGUGCACGAGUGGCGAACGGGUGAGUAACACGUGAGUAACCUGCCCUUGACUUUGGGAUAACUUCAGGAAACUGGGGCUAAUACCGGAUAGGAGCUCCUGCUGCAUGGUGGGGGUUGGAAAGUUUCGGCGGUUGGGGAUGGACUCGCGGCUUAUCAGCUUGUUGGUGGGGUAGGGGUUUACCAAGGCUUUGACGGUUAUCCGGCCUGAGAGGGUGGCCGGCGACAUUAGGACUGAGAUAGGCACCAGUCGCGAACGGGAGGCAGCAGGGGAGAGUAUUGCACAGCGGGCGGAAGCGUGAGGCGACAGCGCCGCGAGCGGAAAGACGGCCUUCGAGUUGUAAACCGCUUUCGCCUGAGACGAAGCGAGAGUGACGGUAAUGGGUAAGAAAGCACCGGCUAACUACGUG
rnacentral:rRNA from 1 species